rnacentral:misc_RNA from 1 species
GAUGAAGAACGUAGCGAAAUGCGAUACUUGGUGUGAAUUGCAGAAUCCCGUGAACCAUCGAGUCUUUGAACGCAAGUUGCGCCCGAAGCCAUUUGGUUGAGGGCACGUCUGCCUGGGUGUCACACACCGUUACCCUCGCGCCAACGUCCAUCGUUGGCCGCGGCGCGGGGCGUGCGCUGACCUCCCGCGAGCGGGGUCUCGUGGUUGGUUGAAAAUCGAGUUCGCGGUCGAGGGUGCCGUGAUGAAAUGGUGGAUGGGCGACGCCCGAGGCCAAUCACGCGCGACUCUGUCCGGCUCGGACUCCUGGACCCCUUCGGCGUCUCCGGACGCUCUUUGGCGAGACCUCAGGUCAGGCGGGGCUACCCGCUGAGUUUAAGCAUAUCAAUAAGCGGAGGA